CGCCCUGAGCGUUGUUAGAAAUCUCACGACGGCAGCCGCGAGGGCCAAAGCGCGAAGCCAAUGGGGCUGAGGAGAGCGGAGAGGCAGUAACUCGUCCGCGGGACUCACCAUUAUCUUCUAACAUCAGUCCAGAGGAAUGUUCCAUUUGAAGUUCAGUUGGAAAAGAAACAAGUUUGUGAAGAUUGACUCAAGAUCCAAAUGCCUGAUGAAUAACAGCAGAAACACGGAUCUCUAUCAAUAAAGACAUGAUGGAUCAACUUUUUGAAGGUUACGCUGACUC